rnacentral:misc_RNA from 1 species
CUGACAUCGGCAAAGGCGUCCGUUCCAUCCAGUCCUAUCCUCGAGCCGGACGCCGCCCUGGAUCCGGGCGGCGCGGCAUCCGGCGUCCGAGUACAAAUAGUGGACGGCGUCCAAGUUCCGACCCAAGUCAAACUAGGGCCAGCGGCAGGCCAGAUCCGUGCGACCCUCGCCUUCUCGGAGAAGCUUCACACCUCUCCUUGCUUUGAUAAACAAGUCAUAGUGGACUUGGGUCGGAACUUGGGUCGCCGUCCACUAUUUGUACUCGGACGCCGGAUGUCGCGCCGCCCGGAUACAGGGCGGCGUCCGGCUCGGGGACAGGACAGGACGGGACGGACGCCUUUGCCGAUGUCAGUGAUUCCUCGCUGCUUCACGAUUCACCGGAGGGGGUGCAUGCUCAUAUCCCUAGAUUCAAAUUCUGCAUUAGUGAUUUGUUUGGAUAUUGACCGUAAGCACCUUCUCAUCCAGAUUGAGCCAAAGGGUGUGAACUCAUCUCGGUCCAUUGACAUCGAUCAGCAAUCGGAGAAGCACAAGAGUAUGUCAAGAGUGUCAGCUUCAGUGGAGAGAGAGCUUGUUCAUGAACAACCCACUGACGACGAUGCGUCUGCGCUGGCGUAUUUGGUUCGACGUCGGUGUCCAAACACGUAUCUCUUUUUUUAUGGACAUGCACUGGAGGACCGUGUUGUUCGGAUGACUUUUAUAGCUAAGCCGACCUAUUCCAGUAGGAGAAAAUACCUCAAUGACUUGCUAGAUGCUGAUCUUGUGAGCCUGAGUCGAGGUGACAGGAAAAGAUGGCAUAACAUGCGGGCUGCUGCUGAGGCUGCUGCUGAGGCAGCUGCUCAGGCUGCGAGGCUGCUGCUCAGGCUGAGCCUGCUGACCAUGCAGGCCAUGAAGACUAAACCUGAUGGUGCUGCCGACAUUGUGCUAGUCACUUUAGACGUUAUGUUGCUACUUUCGAUCACUUUCUUGAUUUUUGCCACGGUGGCGGUGCCGGCGCUGAGGUCUAGGAGCCUGAGCUGGGCGGCGCUGAGGUCUAGGACUUCCUCAAGAGAUGUUGUAACCCUUCAGUUAAUAGUUAAUGGAUAA